rnacentral:tRNA from 1 species
GACUUGUUAGCUCAGCUGGCAGAGCAACUGACUCUUAAUCAGUGGGUCCAGGGUUCGAUUCCCUGACGAGUCACCA